GCGAUUGGCGGGACGGGGAGGGGACGGUACCUCGCCUUUUCUUUUCGUCUUUAACGGUUGGGUUGAGACGGUCGCCCGAAGGACGGGCGGGAAGAUUUUUCUUCGUACGCGGCUGGGUUUUCUUAGACCUUCUGUCGCUGUUUUUUUUUUUCCACCAAGAGCGAAUCUCAUCAAGAUAUUGUUCACCCUUCCACUAAGCUUCCAUGGCUGAAGAAGAUCCACAUGCUAGUCCAAUAUCUUAAUCACAACAUUCUACUCGGCAAGAAAUGGUUUGCUGAAGAGUAGGAUGAUGGAGCUGCACCGCUUGACUUUCAAAGAUAGAUAAUACAUCUUUGCCUGUUCCAAGGAUAUUCUGCCCCUCCAUCCUGAGUGACUAGAGAGCAGCUGAAUGUCCCCUCCUAUUAAGAGGAAGGUUACGGCCUGUUGACUGAAUUAUACAGAAGAAUGAAGGAGAAAUGCAGCUGAAGGAAUCAUGGCACCUCAAGCCAAUUUGCAAAAAGACGUAGGGCCUGAACCAGUCUAGUAGAAAAAAACUGAGUUUUCCAUCAGUUCCUAAUCUACAUUUACUUACUGCAGGCCUUUGGUGAACUAAUAAUUAACUGUUACUUGAAGGC